rnacentral:rRNA from 1 species
GAUGAACGCUGGCGGCGUGCCUAAUACAUGCAAGUCGAGCGAACGGACGAGAAGCUUGCUUCUCUGAUGUUAGCGGCGGACGGGUGAGUAACACGUGGAUAACCUACCUAUAAGACUGGGAUAACUUCGGGAAACCGGAGCUAAUACCGGAUAAUAUUUUGAACCGCAUGGUUCAAAAGUGAAAGACGGUCUUGCUGUCACUUAUAGAUGGAUCCGCGCUGCAUUAGCUAGUUGGUAAGGUAACGGCUUACCAAGGCAACGAUGCAUAGCCGACCUGAGAGGGUGAUCGGCGACACUGGAACUGAGACACGGUCCAGACUCCUACGGGAGGCAGCAGUAGGGAAUCUUCCGCAAUGGGCGAAAGCAUGACGGAGCAGCGCCGCGUGAGUGAUGAAGGUCUUCGGAUCGUAAAACUCUGUUAUUAGGGAAGAACAUAUGUGUAAGUAACUGUGCACAUCUUGACGGUACCUAAUCAGAAAGCCACGGCUAACUACGUG